ACGCUGGCGGCAGGCCUAACACAUGCAAGUCGAGCGGUAGAGAGGAGCUUGCUUCUCUUGAGAGCGGCGGACGGGUGAGUAAUGCCUAGGAAUCUGCCUGGUAGUGGGGGAUAACGUUCGGAAACGGACGCUAAUACCGCAUACGUCCUACGGGAGAAAGCAGGGGACCUUCGGGCCUUGCGCUAUCAGAUGAGCCUAGGUCGGAUUAGCUAGUUGGUGGGGUAAUGGCUCACCAAGGCGACGAUCCGUAACUGGUCUGAGAGGAUGACCAGUCACACUGGAACUGAGACACGGUCCAGACUCCUACGGGAGGCAGCAGUGGGGAAUAUUGGACAAUGGGCGAAAGCCUGAUCCAGCCAUGCCGCGUGUGUGAAGAAGGUCUUCGGAUUGUAAAGCACUUUAAGUUGGGAGGAAGGGUUGUAGAUUAAUACUCUGCAAUUUUGACGUUACCGACAGAAUAAGCACCGGCUAACUCUGUGCCAGCAGCCGCGGUAAUACAGAGGGUGCAAGCGUUAAUCGGAAUUACUGGGCGUAAAGCGCGCGUAGGUGGUUAGUUAAGUUGGAUGUGAAAUCUCCGGGCUCAACCUGGGAACUGCAUUCAAAACUGACUGACUAGAGUAUGGUAGAGGGUGGUGGAAUUUCCUGUGUAGCGGUGAAAUGCGUAGAUAUAGGAAGGAACACCAGUGGCGAAGGCGACCACCUGGACUGAUACUGACACUGAGGUGCGAAAGCGUGGGGAGCAAAC
rnacentral:rRNA from 1 species